UGUGUCCAACAUUUGCUGUUCUCUCCUCUCUCCUUUCAUCUCUUUUGGUUUAUCGCCUUUGUCAGAAAACAGCUAAAGAACCUCAGAUUGAUGAGCAAACAGUUGACACUAGAGGUCAAAUAAGACUGAAUCAGGGUGAAGAUGUGUGUUAUGCUGCGCUGGAAAUCCGUCAGACAUUGCAGAGACCAAAGAAGAAGAAAACUGCAAGUUCUGACUUCAGCACUUAUUCUGCCAUCAAUACUUCUAGAGUGUAAAGAGUCACAAGAAGUUGUAUAAUGAAUUAAUUAGUGAUGAUACAUAGAGACUAUUCUGU